UUUAGUGGCAUGGUGAACCUACUGAAAGAUGAAUAGGAGGGAGCACCUUGACCUAGGACCCAACUACCUUCGAUCCUGAAACUAAAAUAUGAAUUUGAAAAGAAUGAGUAUAAACUUAGUGAGUGAACAUAGGAAGGGAACAAGCAACCAAUAUUGAAAGUUUUUGAAAACAUGAUGCAUUCGUUUUGAAAACAAUGCAAUUUUGUGUGCCAUAAACAAAACUCGAUGCCAUGUUGUCUUUUAACUCGUUUAAAACAUUUAAGAAAAUAAGCUUUCAACAUUCAAUACAAUCACAUAAUAUUUCCUUAACUUUUUCAUAGCAUAUAUAAACAUUUCUAUAGCAUAUAUAAACAUCUCUAUAGUGUAUAAAUAUAUAAACAUACAUGCAACCACCGGUCAUAAGCUCUUGUGCACUCCCUACACGCACAAGGCAAUAUCAUCAUGUGCACUCCCUACACGUACAUUUCAAUACCAUCACAUGCACUCCCGCCCACAUCAUUACUGGCAUUGUCAUGUGCACUCCCACACCGCACACGCACGGUUAUAUUAAUCAAUCAACAUUACAUUUCACAGAAUAACACACAUAUCAACACAUAACAAAAAUCUUUACAUAGUGCUAUAUCUCACAUAAUUCAUUAUUUUACUGGUCAUAAACAUAGUUGCACAAUCCAACACUCAACAAGAAUAACAUUAUUCAUUUUGCCAAUAAUUUAGGACAUCUCUAGAUUUCCAACACACACAUGCCACAAAUCAAUUGACAAAUCAACAUAACAUUCCAAGUACAUAACUCAUCACAUUAUUUAUUCAACCAUGUAAACGAAUUACUUGUGAAAAGCUUGUUCCCAUUCAUAAUUUUAAAUAAAAAAUCAACCAAGGAUAUUCAAAUAUUUUAUUCAAACACAUAUGAAUUUGUUCAAAGCAUUUUAAAUGCAAGUUCACUCACCUUAGGAUAGCGGGAUGUUACAUCGCUAUUAGUUCGGAGGCAUAUCUAGCUAUUGCUACUUGCCGGUCGCUCGCUAUUUCCUCUAGCAUGCUGCCACAGUACACUACCUUUACUUUUGUACUUCCUAGCAACAAUCCAAAUUCAAUAUCUUUAGUGUACCUCAUUUCUACUUCUCUUUUUCCUUCAAUCAUGAAUCCUUAUUCAACUAACUUAUAUCUUGACACAUUCUUUACCAAAGUGGCGUUUAUCCUUUACUUGCGUAAUUCUUUAGAUUAUGAAUACUAGCAACUUAUUUAUGACUCUAGCACAUAUAUAAAUCUUGUCUAAGGAUAUUUAUCAAGUUUAUCCAUCAUUUCCACAAUAAUUACCUAGCAUAUGGCAGCAACUAUAAAUUUACUUCCAUCAAACAUUUUUUAAGUUUACAUGUACCACAAUCCUCAUUUAUAUGUUGCCACCAAGCAUAACAUUAAUAUUCAUUCAUGCACACCAACAUCCAUAACCUUUUAAACCUUUCCUAACAACACAUAUCUACACACCAAACUUCCAAUUAAUAUACUUGCCUUCCAACCAUACCCCUGACAUCACAAUAACAUUACAUAUACAUACAAUCAUUCUCACAAUAUUAAACCAAUCAUAAGCUUCAAAUUGUAGCAUUAAGCUUACCACUUGGUUUUAACUUGGAUUUCACCCAACAAAAUUCAUAAUUUCCUCACACCCAUGGUCACCAUAGCUGCCACAAAAUGAUUGACACAUCAUUUUUUCAAAGAUUUAACCAACCAUGAGCUUAAAACACAAAAACGCUUACCUUAUGUUUCUUGAAUCUUGAGACCGACUUGAUAUUUCUUCAAUUACUCUUAAAUCACUUACUACCCAAGCCUUCCACCUUUCUCUCCUUUCUUUCCUGAGCUGAUUCUCUAUAUUUUUCUCUUCAAUUGCAUGGGAGUAAAGUGAAAAUAGGGUGGAC
rnacentral:lncRNA from 1 species